AGGACGAACGCUGGCGGCGUGCUUAACACAUGCAAGUCGAACGGUGAAGGAGAGCUUGCUCUCCGGAUCAGUGGCGAACGGGUGAGUAACACGUGAGUAACCUGCCCUUGACUCUGGGAUAAGCGUUGGAAACGACGUCUAAUACCGGAUACGAGCUUCAGCCGCAUGGCUAGGAGCUAGGAAAGUAAUUUCGGCAAGGAUGGACUCGCGGCCUAUCAGCUAGUUGGUGAGGUAAUGGCUCACCGAAGGCGACGACGGGUAGCCGGCCUGAGACGGGUGACCGGCCACGACGUGGGACUGAGACGACCGGCCAGACCUCCGUACGGGAGCGAGCGAGGUGGGAACUAGUUGCGACAGUCGGGCGACGAGCCUGAU
rnacentral:rRNA from 1 species